UGAGCCGAGUGUGAGUGGACUAAGUCUUUCCCAUUAGGGAACUUCUGGUAGGAGAGGAGCUUCUCAAGGAGUAAUCUUCUGUAAAUCUGCAAAAACAGCAAAUAGGUCGUGUAUUCAAUUGCCUCUCAAUGGGAAGUAAACGGAGUCAAGAGUGUUUUUCUUCGUUACUCUGAAUGUCUACUGUCCUUUAUUUGUGAAAAUAAAGAUAAGGAUGCUGUAACAUAGUAUUUGGAGGAAAACAUAGAAUAAGGUUUGAAAAUAAGUACAUACCUGAAAGCAAUAUAUCAAUAUGAAUUUAGCCUACAGGAAAUCUUUACUCCUCUUUUUAGAAUAUUUUUUAUGAUAGGUGUUCAGAAAAAAUAGUAUAUGAGUAGAGAAGUGACUGUGACAAUACGCUGUAAUUCUUAGGUUUUUUGCUUGUCUCGACGAAAGGUUCCACAUUUGUUUAGGUUUCGUAUGCGUGCGUAAACCAGACCACAUCUAUUUGUA